rnacentral:rRNA from 1 species
GACGAACGCUGGCGGCGUGCUUAACACAUGCAAGUCGAACGGAAAGGCCCUGCUUUUGUGGGGUGCUCGAGUGGCGAACGGGUGAGUAACACGUGAGUAACCUGCCCUUGACUUUGGGAUAACUUCAGGAAACUGGGGCUAAUACCGGAUAGGAGCUCCUGCUGCAUGGGGGGGGUUGGAAAGUUUCGGCGGUGGGGGAUGGACUCGCGGCUUAUCAGCUUGUUGGUGGGGUAGUGGCUUACCAAGGCUUUGACGGGUAGCCGGCCUGGGAGGGUGACCGGCCACAUUGGGACUGCGGUACGGACCAGACUCCUACGGGAGGCAGCGGUGGGGAAUAUUGCACAGUGGGCGGAAGCCUGAUGCAGCGGCGCCGCGUGCGGAAUGACGGCCUUCGGGUUGUAAACCGCUUUCGCCUGUGACGAAGCGUGAGUGACGGUAAUGGGUAAAGAAGCACCGGCUAACUACGUG